rnacentral:rRNA from 1 species
GACGAACGCUGGCGGCGUGCUUAACACAUGCAAGUCGAACGGAAAGGCCCUGCUUUUGUGGGGUGCUCGAGUGGCGAACGGGUGAGUAACACGUGAGUAACCUGCCCUUGACUUUGGGAUAACUUCAGGAAACUGGGGCUAAUACCGGAUAGGAGCUCCUGCUGCAUGGUGGGGGUUGGAAAGUUUCGGCGGUUGGGGAUGGACUCGCGGCUUAUCAGCUUGUUGGUGGGGUAGUGGCUUACCAAGGCUUUGACGGGUAGCCGGCCUGAGAGGGUGACCGGGGAAGGUGGGAGUGAGAAUGGGACAAGAGGGAGAAGGGGGGGAGGAGGGGGGGAGGGGGUAAGAUGGGCUGACGACUGAGGAAGCACGGACGAGGGAGGGGUGAGGGGGUGGGUGUUGUGAAAAGGUGUAGCGGGUGACAAAGAGUGAGUGACGGUAAUGGGGAAAGAAGAGAAGGAGAACUAGGUG